rnacentral:rRNA from 1 species
CACCUACGGGAGGCUGCAGCAACGAAUAUUCCGCAAUGGGCGCAAGCCUGACGGAGCGACGCCGCGUGAAGGAUGAAGUCCUUCGGGAUGUAAACUUCGAUAGUCUGUGAGGAAGUAAGCCGGGUGAACAAUCCGGCGAGUUGACCAAUAGAUGAAAGGGGCUGCCAACUACGUGCCAGCAGCCGCGGUAAUACGUAGGCCCCAAGCGUUAUCCGGAUUUAUUGGGCGUAAAGGGUGCGUAGGUGGUUUAUCACAUCUUUGGUUAAAGUCCUAAGCUCAACUUAGGAAUUGCCAAGGAGAUGGAUAAACUAGAGAAUGCCAGAGGUGGCUGGAACUGCCGGUGUAGGGGUGAAAUCCGUUGAUAUCGGCAGGAACGCCAGAGGUGAAGGCAGUCAACUGGGGCAUUUCUGACGCUGAGAGACGAAAGCGUGGGUAGCAAAAAGGAUUAGAUACCCUUGUAGUCCACGCCCUAAACUAUGGACACUAGCUAUUUGAAGUGUCGACCCUUCAAGUGGCGAAGCUAACGCGUUAAGUGUCCUGCCUGGGAAGUACGGCCGCAAGGCUAAAACUCAAAAGAAUAGACGGGGCUUCACACAAGCGGUGGAG